rnacentral:lncRNA from 1 species
GCAAAACUACUUUGAUUUGAAUUUUCUUUGUUGCAAACACAGGCCAGCUCCUGGGACAUCCCUCCAUCUCCAGGUGAUGGCAAGCAUGAGAAGACCGCAGGCACUGUUCAUCAGCAUGAGCUGUCAGAAGGCUUCCAGGAGGGUAACACGCUCUCGCUCAUCCACUGGGCGGCUCAGUUACAUGUGGCCAGAGAGGAUUUGUCAGGAUGGUGAAUCCAUAGCUCUUGACUUCAGGUGUGACAAGAAACUCCCACCCUUCCUAAAGGUUUGCAGGCCGAGGGUUCACUAAGAUUUGCACCUCCUACAACAGAUGUCUACAGAGAAGUUUCCUCCAGAGAUGAUCUGGAAACCCAGAGCAAAGCUCCUGUUGACGUGAAUACCUAUGAACGAAGCAAAGCACAGAUGAGGGCCGUGGCACUUCCACCCUGAGCUUGUGCUGGAUCUGGUUCAUUGGCUCACUGAGAUCCCAAAGCAAUGGCUGAUGGCUCACCUGACCUUUUCAUGGGGACUUGGGUGCUGAGCUUUGGAUUUGGGUAAAAUUGCUUUUAAGGUUUGGUGCUGGAUCAUUUUGUGGAUUUAUGUGCUCUGCUCUUCUGCUGACCCCAAGGGUGGCUGUACUUCAUGGACCAGGUGCAUGUGGCACCUUUUGAGAGUUGAGGACCUAAGGGUUGUAGGCCUGUGCAUUUGUACCCUCUUUCCUGAUCAUAUUAUUUGCACCCUGAAAUCUACCAAAAAUGGCACUGCAGAAGUUUCUUAGCCUUUUGUCUACCUCUGGUUAGAAAACUACAAGUUUUUACGUCCUCUCCCUUCUCUUUGUAUUAGGCAAAGCCAUAGGCAAAUAGUUAUGAGUAAAAGGGGCAGGAUAUAAUUCUAUGGCCACUUCUUCCCCUCUGCCCCCACUGUUGGCCUGCUCUCUGAAGUGAUUUGAAAUUGAAUUUGCUCCCCAAAUGCAAACUGUACGGUUCAUAACCAGGGAUGCUGCAGAUUCGAUGAUCACUUUUUUGUGCACAGCUCUGAGCUCGCAGUAAAUGUGGGUAUGGGGGAACUCAACGUGUGUGUAUGGCGAAAGGAAAGAAACCUCAUUCUGCACCUAAAACAUUAGCCAACAACCUCUCGAGGGUCAGCUGAACUCAGAUAUUCUUUUUCCCUUCUUGUUUAAAGCUUGACAUUACCAUCCUCUGAUACCGUUAAGUGAAAGCUCAGCACUAGGCAGUAAAGCGGCCGCUGAAUAUUCUAACAAGUGGCUUGUUAGUGAGGAAUGUCCUGGCGGUGAGUAUGGAUCAGCCUUG